rnacentral:rRNA from 1 species
AGUAAUGCGUGACCAACCUCGCCCCACUGCUCCAGAAUAGCUCUUGGAAACGGGUGGUAAUGCUGGAUGCUCCAACUUGACGCAUGUCUUGUUGGGAAAGUGUUUAGUGGCAUGGGAUGGGGUCGCGUCCUAUCAGCUUGUAGGCGGGGNUAAUGGCCCACCUAGGCUUCGACGGGUAGCCGGCCUGAGAGGGCGGACGGCCACAUUGGGACUGAGAUACGGCCCAGACUCCUACGGGAGGCAGCAGCG